rnacentral:rRNA from 1 species
UACGUAGGGUGCGAGCGUUAAUCGGAAUUACUGGGCGUAAAGCGUGCGUAGGCGGUUCUCCAAGUCCGUUGUGAAAGCCCCGGGCUCAACCUGGGAAUGGCAGUGGAAACUAGGGGACUGGAAUCUGGCAGAGGGGGGUGGAAUGCCGCGUGUAGCAGUGAAAUGCGUAGAGAUGCGGCGGAACACCGAUGGCGAAGGCAGCCCCCUGGGCUGAGAUUGACGGCUCAGGCACGAAGGCGUGGGGAGCAAACAGG